rnacentral:rRNA from 1 species
UAGUCCACGCCGUAAACGAUGAUCACUCGCUGUCNGCGAUACACAGUAGGCGGCUGAGCGAAAGCAUUAAGUGAUCCACCUGGGGAGUACGAUCGCAAGGUUGAAACUCAAAGGAAUUGACGGGGGCCCGCACAAGCGGAGGAACAUGUGGUUUAAUUCGAUGAUACGCGAGGAACCUUACCUGGGCUUAAAUGUAGAUUGCAUAAUUUAGAAAUAGAUUUUCCCUUCGGGGCUAUUUACAAGGUGCUGCAUGGUUGUCGUCAGCUCGUGCCGUGAGGUGUCGGGUUAAGUCCCAUAACGAGCGCAACCCCUAUCGUUAGUUGCUAGCAGGUAAUGCUGAGGACUCUAGCGAGACUGCCACCGUAAGGUGAGAGGGAAGGUGGGGGAUGACGUCAAAUCAGCACGGCCCUUAUGUCCAGGGGCUACACACGUGUUACAAUGGGCAGGGUACAAAGGGGCAGCUACACAGCGAUGUGAUGGCUAAUCU